rnacentral:pre_miRNA from 1 species
GUUGUACUCCCUCCGUCCAACAAAAGAUGUCUCAAGUUUGUUAAAAUUUGGAUGUAUCUAGACAUGACUUAGUGUAUAGAUGCAUUCAAAUUUAGUCAAAGUUGAGACACCCUUUGUUGGACGGAGGGAGUAUCAU